rnacentral:rRNA from 1 species
GAUGAACGCUGGCGGCGUGCCUAAUACAUGCAAGUCGAGCGAACGGACGAGAAGCUUGCUUCUCUGAUGUUAGCGGCGGACGGGUGAGUAACACGUGGAUAACCUACCUAUAAGACUGGGAUAACUUCGGGAAACCGGAGCUAAUACCGGAUAAUACUUUGAACCGCAUAGUUCAAAAGUGAAAGACGGUCUUGCUGUCACUUAUAGAUGGAUCCGCGCUGCAUUAGCUAGUUGGUAAGGUAACGGCUUACCAAGGCAACGAUGCAUAGCCGACCUGGGAGGGUGAUCGGCCACACUGGAACUGAGACACGGUCCAGACUCCUACGGGAGGCAGCAGUAGGGAAUCUUCCGCAAUGGGCGAAAGCCUGACGGAGCAACGCCGCGUGAGUUAUGAAGGUCUUCGGAUCGUAAAACUCUGUUAUUAGGGAAGAACAUAUGUGUAAGUAACUGUGCACAUCUUGACGGUACCUAAUCAGAAAGCCACGGCUAACUACGUG